UUGAUCCUGGCUCAGAAUCAACGCUGGCGGCGUGCCUAACACAUGCAAGUCGCGCGCGAAAGGGGGGCAACUCCCAAGUAGAGCGGCGAACGGGUGAGUUACGCGUGGGUGAUCUACCUUCGAGUGGGGAACAACAUCGGGAAACUGGUUCUAAUACCGCAUGACAUCCUCGAGUCACAUCGAGGAUCAAAGCCGGGGAUCGCAAGGCCUGGCGCUUGAAGAUGAGCCCGCGUCCGAUUAGCUAGUUGGUGGGGUAAUGGCCCACCAAGGCGACGAUCGGUAGCCGGCCUGAGAGGGCGUACGGCCACACUGGAACUGAGACACGGUCCAGACUCCUACGGGAGGCAGCUGUGGGGAAUUUUUCGCAAUGGGCGCAAGCCUGACGAAGCAACGCCGCGUUGAGGAUGAAGGCCUUCGGGUCGUAAACUCCUGUCGACUGGGACGAAAGCUGUCUGGGCUAAUAUCCCGGGCUGUUGACUGUACCGGUGGAGGAAGCCACUGCUAACUCUGUGCCAGCAGCCGCGGUAAUAAGGU
rnacentral:rRNA from 1 species